rnacentral:SRP_RNA from 1 species
GCUGGGCGUGGUGGCGUGCACCUGUAGUCCCAGCUACUUGGGAGGCUGAGACGGGAGAUUUGCUUGAACCCAGGAGGUGGAGGGUGCAGUAAGCUGAGAUCGCACCACUGCACUCCAGCCUGGGCGACAGAGCAAGACUCCGUCUCAA